CGGGGCUCCCCUGUAGCUCUGUGCCUGCAUGCGUUGUCACUGCAGCAGAAGUGUGGGACAGGUGUGGUCAGGCGACGCCCCGUGGGAACCGCCGCAGAGCCGAGAAGUAUUUGACACAAGAAAACAAGUUUAAAAAACACGAAGACUGAGGUGAUUCCUUUGAAGGGGUUGUUCACCCUCAAAGACGUCUUGACGCCCACAUGAGAAGUGCUGCAGUAGAAGGUUGAAAGUCUGGAGGUGUAGUGGAUUGGAGGGUGUGGAGGGUUGGAUGAUACAGAAAAUGGGGGCAAUGCAACUGCAUCCAAGGAGGAACUGAGACUUCCAGAAGCAGGGGGUCUGCAGUCACUCUUCCCUGACACUUUAGUAGGAAGCAGGGCCGUGCCAAUAACUCCAUUUUGGAGUUUUAUCCUCUGGAACUGUACAGCAAUAAAUUUUUGUUUUAAGUCA